CCCAAAGUAUCAAACUGAAUAAUUAAAAUCUUCAUCAAAAGUUUUCCAAAAUAGCAUUAGGUUCUGCUCAGUAAACAUGAAAGUUUCUUCUCAUAGACUAGUCUCUGAAGUCUGACAUGUGAAUUUUUUCAGAUCGGAAGAGCUCGU